GAAUUCGAUUCAGGCCUAACACAGGCAAGUCGAACGAUGAAGCACGUUCGGGUGUGGAUUAGUGGCGAACGGGUGAGGAACACGUGAGAAAUCUGCCUUCAACUCUGGGAUGAACUCCGGGAAACCGGGGGUAAUACCGGAUAUGAGCCUUGAUCGCAUGAUCGAGGCUGGAAAGUUUUUCGGUUGAAGAUGAUCUCGCGGCCUAUCAGCUUGUUGGUGAGGUAAUGGCUCACCAAGGCGACGACGGGUAUCCGGCCUGAGAGGGCGACCGGACACACUGGGACUGAGACACGGCCCAGACUCCUACGGGAGGCAGCAGUGGGGAAUAUUGGGCAAUGGGCGAAAGCCUGACCCAGCGACGCCGCGUGAGGGAUGAAGACCGUCGGGUUGUAAACCUCUUUCAGUAGGGAAGAAGCGAAA
rnacentral:rRNA from 1 species